CCGCUGUAGGAGAAAGCCAAUGGCAGGCGCGGCCUCCGGGAGGCAGCCCGGCUCCGCGCACCACGCCCUCGGUGGCAGCGGGCGGCCGCUUCUCGCCUUCCCCGCCCGGUUUACUUUGCAAAGAGGCGGCGGCAGGUGGGACUGGUUGGCGAUUCCUCAGUCCCCCCCCCCGCCUUCCCUCCACUCCGGUGACGCCGCGUUUGCACCGCUGUUAUGUCUGAAGGAUCGCGGAAUAUAGGAACCCCCCGCGGAGGCUGGCGGAAAGCCCUCUGCACGAACUCAGAGGGAAGAAUGGAACAAGGAGCUGUUUAAACAAAACAAAAGCAUCCCUAUACCCUGUGGCUGUUGCACCUUAAACUUUACACGUAAGAGCUGAUUUCUCCUAUGCCAGAAGCCUGAAGAAUUUCUACAAGAUCCAGAGAUGUGAAAGAUAAGAUUACACUGUAAUUGUGGGACCAGCUUUUUCCUGUUUCCUGAAGGACAGAAAGCUGGUACUUGCUGCUAACCUCAGCCAAUAUGAGAAGACAAGUUUUAUGGAUGCCCGAGAUUGCUAUAAUGCCUGUGUCAGCUCAGGACCAAGUGAUCCUCCUGAAGAGAAAUGGUUUCUUUGGCUCCUCUUGCAUUGUUCUUUUGACCAUGUUUGAAGAAAAAAAAAAAAAUUUACUGUCUUAUUUCACGAUUUUUGCAUUUAUGACUGACUUUCCUCGGUAGAAGAUGAGUUUAACCCAAAUAGAUCUGAUCAUUUAUCACAAAAGAGAUCCAACCCUGUGUAAAGAUCCCAUUGGGAGUAAUGAAAACCAAACUGCAAAAAAUGCUACAUUUCUGAAAAAGGUGACCAGAAUGCAGCUCAGAACAGAGAUGAAAGGAAAAUAAAGCAGGACCCAUUAGUAUACCCCUGGAUAAUUUGUUGUACAUAACAAGGUUU